rnacentral:rRNA from 1 species
CCUACGGGCGGCAGCAGUGAGGAAUAUUGGUCAAUGGACGGAAGUCUGAACCAGCCAUGCCGCGUGCAGGAAGACGGCUCUAUGAGUUGUAAACUGCUUUUGUACAAGGGUAAACCUGAAUACGUGUAUUCAGCUGAAAGUACUGUACGAAUAAGGAUCGGCUAACUCCGUGCCAGCAGCCGCGGUAAUACGGAGGAUCCAAGCGUUAUCCGGAUUUAUUGGGUUUAAAGGGUGCGUAGGCGGAUUGAUAAGUUAGAGGUGAAAUGUCCGAGCUUAACUCGGGAACUGCCUCUAAUACGGUUGAUCUAGAGAGUAGAUGCGGUAGGCGGAAUGUAUGGUGUAGCGGGGAAAUGCUUAGAGAUCAUACAGAACACCGAGUGCGAAGGCAGCUUACCAAUCUAUAUCUGACGUUGAGGCACGAAAGCGUGGGGAGCAAACAGGAUUAGAUACCCUGGUAGUC